UACGGAGGGUGCAAGCAUUGAUCGGAAUUACUGGGCGUAAAGGGCGCGUAGGCGGCCGUAAAAGUCAGGUGUGAAAUUCCGGGGCUCAACCCCGGAGCUGCACUUGAAACUCUAUGGCUUGAGGUUGGUGAGGGAAAACGGAAUUCCACGUGUAGCGGUGAAAUGCGUAGAUAUGUGGAAGAACACCGGUGGUGAAGGCGGUUUUCUGUGCUAAACCUGACGCUGAGGCGCGAGAGCUAGGGGAG
rnacentral:rRNA from 1 species